rnacentral:rRNA from 1 species
AUGGGGUGCAGCAGGCGCGAAACCUCCGCAAUGCGGGCAACCGCGACGGGGGGACCCCCAGUGCCGUGGCAACGCCACGGCUUUUCCGGAGUGUAAAAAGCUCCGGGAAUAAGGGCUGGGCAAGGCCGGUGGCAGCCGCCGCGGUAAUACCGGCGGCCCGAGUGGUGGCCACUAUUAUUGGGCCUAAAGCGUCCGUAGCCGGGCCCGUAAGUCCCUGGCGAAAUCCCACGGCUCAACCGUGGGGCUUGCUGGGGAUACUGCGGGCCUUGGGACCGGGAGAGGCCGGGGGUACCCCUGGGGUAGGGGUGAAAUCCUAUAAUCCCAGGGGGACCGCCAGUGGCGAAGGCGCCCGGCUGGAACGGGUCCGACGGUGAGGGACGAAGGCCAGGGGAGCGAACCGGAUUAGAUACCCGGGUAGUCCUGGCUGUAAAGGAUGCGGGCUAGGUGUCGGGCGAGCUUCGAGCUCGCCCGGUGCCGAAGGGAAGCCGUUAAGCCCGCCGCCUGGGGAGUACGGCCGCAAGGCUGAAACUUAAAGGAAUUGGCGGGGGAGCAC